CAGUCGACGAGAAAGCCCUGCUUGCAGGGUGAGUAAAGUGGCGCACGGGUGAGUAACACGUGGGUAAUCUGCCUUUGAGACAGGGAUAACAUCUCGAAAGGGGUGCUAAUACCUGGUACGAUGAGAACCUCACAAGCGGUUCUCAUGAAAGGUGACCUCUUCAUGAAAGUUGCCGCUCAUUGAUGAGCCUGCGUCCCAUUAGCUUGUUGGUGGGGUAACGGCCUACCAAGGCAAAGAUGGGUAGCUGGUCUGAGAGGAAGAUCAGCCACACUGGAACUGAGACACGGUCCAGACUCCUACGGGAGGCAGCAGUGGGGAAUAUUGCGCAAUGGGGGUAACCCUGACGCAGCAACGCCGCGUGAGUGAUGAAGGCCUUCGGGUCGUAAAGCUCUGCCAGGUGGGAAGAACGGGUGGGUGCCGAAUACGCACUGGUCUUGACGGUACCACCAGAGGAAGCACCGGCUAACUCCGUGCCAGCAGCCGCGGUAAUACGGAGGGUGCAAGCGUUGUUCGGAAUUAUUGGGCGUAAAGCGCGUGCAGGCGGCCUGGUAAGUCAGGUGUGAAAGCCCUUGGCUCAACCAAGGAAUGUCAUCUG
rnacentral:rRNA from 1 species